AAACGGGUGCGGAACACGUACGCAACCUUCCCAGAACUGGUGAAUAGCCUUUCGAAAGAGAGAUUAAUACACCGUAACUUAAUGGAGUGGCAUCACUUUAUUAAUAUAGUUCCGACGGUUCUGGAUGGGCGUGCGGCUGAUUAGGUAGUUGGCGGGGUAACGGCCCACCAAGCCAACGAUCAGUAACUGGUGUGAGAGCACGACCAGUCACACGGGCACUGAGACACGGGCCCG
rnacentral:rRNA from 1 species